CACGUAGGGCGCAAGCGUUGUCCGGAUUUAUUGGGCGUAAAGAGCUCGUAGGCGGUUCGGUAAGUCGGGUGUGAAACCUCCAGGCUCAACCUGGAGAUGCCACCUGAUACUGCUGUGACUCGAGUCCGGUAGGGGAGCGUGGAAUUCCUGGUGUAGCGGUGAAAUGCGCAGAUAUCAGGAGGAACACCAGCGGCGAAGGCGGCGCUCUGGGCCGGAACUGACGCUGAGGAGCGAAAGCGUGGGUAGCAAACAGG
rnacentral:rRNA from 1 species